AGGUCAGGACGAACGCUGGCGGCGUGCCUAAUACAUGCAAGUCGAAACGCUUCUUUUCCCACCGGAGCUUGCUCCACCGGGAAAAGAGGAGUGGCGAACGGGUGAGUAACACGUGGGUAACCUGCCCAUCAGAAGGGGAUAACACUUGGAAACAGGUGCUAAUACCGUAUAACAAUCGAAACCGCAUGGUUUCGUUUUGAAAGGCGCUUUACGGUGCCGCUGAUGGAUGGACCCGCGGUGCAUUAGCUAGUUGGUGAGGUAACGGCUCACCAAGGCCACGAUGCAUAGCCGACCUGAGAGGGUGAUCGGCCACAUUGGGACUGAGACACGGCCCAAACUCCUACGGGAGGCAGCAGUAGGGAAUCUUCGGCAAUGGACGAAAGUCUGACCGAGCAACGCCGCGUGAGUGAAGAAGGUUUUCGGAUCGUAAAACUCUGUUGUUAGAGAAGAACAAGGGUGAGAGUAACUGUUCACCCCUUGACGGUAUCUAACCAGAAAGCCACGGCUAACUACGUGCCAGCAGCCGCGGUAAUACGUAGGUGGCAAGCGUUGUCCGGAUUUAUUGGGCGUAAAGCGAGCGCAGGCGGUUUCUUAAGUCUGAUGUGAAAGCCCCCGGCUCAACCGGGGAGGGUCAUUGGAAACUGGGAGACUUGAGUGCAGAAGAGGAGAGUGGAAUUCCAUGUGUAGCGGUGAAAUGCGUAGAUAUAUGGAGGAACACCAGUGGCGAAGGCGGCUCUCUGGUCUGUAACUGACGCUGAGGCUCGAAAGCGUGGGGAGCAAACAGGAUUAGAUACCCUGGUAGUCCACGCCGUAAACGAUGAGUGCUAAGUGUUGGAGGGUUUCCGCCCUUCAGUGCUGCAGCUAACGCAUUAAGCACUCCGCCUGGGGAGUACGACCGCAAGGUUGAAACUCAAAGGAAUUGACGGGGGCCCGCACAAGCGGUGGAGCAUGUGGUUUAAUUCGAAGCAACGCGAAGAACCUUACCAGGUCUUGACAUCCUUUGACCACUCUAGAGAUAGAGCUUCCCCUUCGGGGGCAAAGUGACAGGUGGUGCAUGGUUGUCGUCAGCUCGUGUCGUGAGAUGUUGGGUUAAGUCCCGCAACGAGCGCAACCCUUAUUGUUAGUUGCCAUCAUUUAGUUGGGCACUCUAGCAAGACUGCCGGUGACAAACCGGAGGAAGGUGGGGAUGACGUCAAAUCAUCAUGCCCCUUAUGACCUGGGCUACACACGUGCUACAAUGGGAAGUACAACGAGUCGCGAAGUCGCGAGGCUAAGCUAAUCUCUUAAAGCUUCUCUCAGUUCGGAUUGUAGGCUGCAACUCGCCUACAUGAAGCCGGAAUCGCUAGUAAUCGCGGAUCAGCACGCCGCGGUGAAUACGUUCCCGGGGCCUUGUACACACCGCCCCGUCACACCACGAAGAGUUUGUAACACCCGAAAGUCGGUGAGGUAACCUUUUUUGGAACCCGCCCCCCUAAGGUGGGAAUAGAUGAUUUGGGGGUGAAAUUCCUAAACAAGGGUAGCCGUAAUCGGAAGGGUGGGGCUGGA
rnacentral:rRNA from 1 species